rnacentral:lncRNA from 1 species
CCACUUCUUGUCUCCCCCUCCCGCUUGUCUCAUUUCCAGGGAUUUUUCUCCAGCUUGGUUGUAAGAACCAGCCUCAGCAAUCCGACGUGUGAAGUUAGGCAGUGUGGGGUCUUGUCGUUGGGAGUUUGGUGGCUGGGAUGUUGCCAGGACUGUGUGGAGCAGGUUCCAGUCCAUGGUGAGGGCCCUGGGAUUUUAUUUUUCCUUUGAUCUACUGAGAGAAGAGGCCUGUGAAGUGGCUGCUGCUGUGAAGGUUCCAGGAUCCGCCUCUGGUAACAACUACAU